rnacentral:rRNA from 1 species
UAAGGAAUAUUGGUCAAUGGAGGCAACUCUGAACCAGCCAUGCCGCGUGCAGGAAGACAGCCCUCUGGGUCGUAAACUGCUUUUAUUCGGGAAUAAACCUCAUUAUGUGUAAUGAGCUGAAUGUACCGAAGGAAUAAGGAUCGGCUAACUCCGUGCCAGCAGCCGCGGUAAUACGGAGGGUGCGAGCGUUGUCCGGAUUUAUUGGGCGUAAAGAGCUCGUAGGCGGUUUGUCGCGUCGGCCGUGAAAACUCAACGCUUAACGUUGAGCUUGCGGUCGAUACGGGCAGACUUGAGUUCGGUAGGGGAGACUGAAUUCCUGGUGUAGCGGUGAAAUGCGCAGAUAUCAGGAGGAACACCGGUGGCGAAGGCGGGUCUCUGGGCCCGAUACUGACGCUGAGGAGCGAAAGCGUGGGGAGCGAACAGGAUUAGAUACC